UACGUAGGUGGCAAGCGUUGUCCGGAAUUAUUGGGCGUAAAGCGCGCGCAGGCGGUCCUUUAAGUCUGAUGUGAAAGCCCCCGGCUCAACUGGGGAGGGUCACGCGAUACUGAUCGACUCGAAGGCAGGAGAGGGUAGUGGAAUUCCUGGUGUAGCGGUGAAAUGCGCAGAUAUCAGGAGGAACACCGGUGGCGAAGGCGGGUCUCUGGGCCGAUACUGACGCUGAGGAGCGAAAGCGUGGGGAGCAAACAGG
rnacentral:rRNA from 1 species